CCUCCCAAAGUGCUGGGAUUACAGGCGUUACAUUUGAAAAAAUUAAGUCAAAGAGCUCUCCAAACCAGGCACAAACUUCUACUUAUAUAUUAAGGUCUCACUGUGAGUAGGGUUGCUAAGCCUGCUGAAAUAACCCUUUCUCUUCCGGUACCCACUUUCAUCCGACGUGCCCCACCCGCCCGACUCGAUUGCAUCAGCCUCCCGUCAGCCCCGCCCCAGUGUACUUGCACUCGCAAGCGCUGCUGGGUAUCUUGGGACUAGACGCACACGGGGCGGGGCUUCCAGUCUCGCUCUUGGAGCGGGGAGGCCAAAGGAGUCGGAAAGGGGCGUUAUCUAUUUCGGAAGUGAGUGGGACGAUGGCGACCAAGCGGUCGUGAGCCUUGAGCUUUGCAACUUUUCUUGGCUCCCAUUUCCUCCUAAAGCCACGAGUUUACCAGCGUCUCUUACAAGUAGUGUGUCGCCACUUUAAAUAAACCAUUAGGAAAGGAAAAGGGCGAACCCCGGAGCCCACCUGCGGCAGGGGUGCGCCAAUUGGCCAGUGGUGAGGGCGCAUGCGAACCACUGACAAUGACGUAAUCUUGCCGCUCACAGCGGAAGUGAGACUUUGGGGGAGGGAGGAGCUCCGGUGCGAGUAAAAGUGUCGGAUUUGUCCAGGCCUGGGCUGAGAGGCCUGCUAGGGGAUGGAGGGCCCCAGGAGGGGAGGGAGGAGUCUUGGACUUUCUCGGAGACAGAGGCUGGGGCUGGCCACCGAGAGUGGAAGCCGCUGUCCAGAGGUUAGAGCCACCCAAGAGCGGGUAGUCGAGUGGCCGCCAGGGGGUGACCGUGCCUGCGUACGUCCACAAGUGGACCCACAAAGACUGGCCCAUAUAUUUUUGAAACUAUUUAUUUUUAUAUCUGUUUCCUCUUCUGCCCUGACAUCCCAGAGAAAGAGUUGUGGGUGAUUCACCUAGUGAAGGGCCAGGUACAAAGAAGACACAUUUUUAAGGCGGUUGAUUGACGGAAGGAAAAGACUGAAAAAGCGAAAACAACAAACCAAAAAACCCCAAACCCAGAGAUACCCAUAUAUGACAUAAAGUUAAGGCCUUUUUAAAAAUUAAUAAUAGAAAUUUUAAAUGUCCAUCAGCAGAGCUUCAGGCCAUGAAGUUUUUAGGUUGUUGCAGAGUGUACACAUAACCCUGUAUCCUUAGUUAUAGCAUAAUAAUUUUUCUCUGUUGCUGUAGAAUCUCCAUAGCCAUCAUCUCUCAGCGAUGGUGGUAGAAUGUUCCAUCAGACAGCUGUGCCACAAUUCACUUAACUCUUGUUGGAUAUUAAAACUACUUUCUAGUGUUUGACCAUCAAAAAAUAGCUCUGCAAGGAAUAAUUUUGUGCUUAGAGCUUUUCCUGUGGAAGUAGGGGUGGGUGGAUAUUGAUUUAGGAGCAGAAUUACCGGGAAAAUGUCAUAAACAUGCUUUAGGCUCUUGUUGACCCGCUUUCCUGAAAGGGAUCAUACCCAUUGACAUCAGAGGCCAAAUCCGAAAUCAAACCUGGUGGACUCCGGGUCUUGCCUGUCUCCAGGCUGGUUUUAAUUUCCGUAUCCUGCAGCAAUGCUCAAGUUUAUUAUUAGUUCUGACCUUUGGGGCAAGGCAAACACACACCAAAGUUUCGGGGACAACUUUAGCAACGGCAACAGCUGACAUUGUGAGCGGGUGCAGCUCAGGUUUCAAGCUUGAGCAACUGGGUUGGAUGAACUUGCCUCGCUGAGACAGGGAAUCUGAGAAGAGGAACAGGUUUGGGAGGGAGCAGAUGAGAUCAGUUUUAAAUAUGUUUAGUUCGAGGUGCCUUUGGGACAUCUAAAGGAAGGUAUCCAGGAGACAGGCAUACAUAUGGAUAAACAACAGUUUUUGCCCUUCUCUGAACUCCCAGAGCUCCCUAUCUGUGGAUUUCUCAUGGCUCAGGUUGCCUUUUACCUUUUACUACCCUCAGAGCUCCUUGAGGCCAGGAUAAGGGCCUCAUUCAUUUGUGCAUCCUUCCUCCCAGUGCCCGGUACAGUGCUUUAUACCUAGAAGGCCAUAAAAUUCUGUCCUGUAUAAUGAAAUUUCAUUGAUUUUUUAAUUGGAUGAUUCCUGCAGUAGGGGUUCUGAUCUGGGUGAAAAAGUUUGGGAAGCUUGAGAGUUCUGGGAAGGCUUCCUGUAAGAGGUGACAUAAUGUUACCGUGAAUGAUUAUGACUAUUUGUUGAACACCUACCAUAUUCCAGUCACUCUGCUGCACACAUGCAUCAGAGAUGCCACUUCUUGCUGGCCAUCUUUACAUCCCCUUCUGGGAGAAUUGGCUCUACUUACAGUUCCUACCAAAUGAUCAAGCAAGGACUAACUAUGUAUUACAUCCACCCUUGCCUUAGGAUACAGCACCUGAUCCAUGGCCAGCCCACAGCCUGUGAGUUGUAUGGCCCAGCUUUAGAAGAUGAGGUGGGCCAAUCAGAAUCCUCUCUUGGGAAUGUGAAAUAGGAGAUCCAGAGGAGAGUUGUCAGUUAGUUGUCGGUAGCUGAGCUGACAGGUCCAGUAGACCAGGAUGCUGGGUGGGUGGGUGCGGCAUUAUGAAUCAGGUCAAGUGCCUGUUAAAAUCCCGGGGGAACAGUUCAAAGUGGUUGGCUGAAUGAGGAAGCUGGGGCAGAUGUACAGAGAGAAGCAGACAUGUAGUGCAGAUGAAUUAUAUUAAUGGUAAAGCUCCAGAGCAGAGGGUCCAUGCCUCAUCCAGAAAUUUCCUGCAGCUCCAGGCUUAAUAAGCUUUAGCUGUACUUCACUUCCUGCUCUUGGAUUUCCGAUUCGUGAUCUAGCUUCACUGGGUUUCUGUUCCUUGCAUCCAAAAGAGUCUUAACAAAAACAGCCUUUUAAAUAGGUUUAAUUUAAUUUGCACUUCGGCCCUCUGAGAUUCCAGGGGUAUAUGUGCAGCUUUGUCACAUGGGUAUAUUGCGUGAUACUGAGGUUUGGGAUUCGAAUGAUCCUGUGACCCAAAUCGGGCAGACAGGAGGAAAGACCAAUUGACAACAUCAUCAGUCCAGCAUCUCAAGACUGGAAAAGACCUUGGAAUUUAUGUGAAACCAACUGCCUACCCAAAGAAGGACUGCCUUCCACUCCUUCCGCAAGGUUCCAGUCAAGGAAUAAUCCAUACUUCUAUAUAGCUCCGUGGAUGGAAACCAUCAUUCCAGGGGUCAGGGCCUUAGGCUGACAUGGAGUUGGCUUCCAGAUUUGUGUUCGGUUAGAUCCAGUAAUACAGACUGCCAACUGAGAACUCCCAUCUAUGAUUUUUCCUGAUUGAUCUGUCUUCUUUGAGCUUUAAAGUCCUUAUCCUGUCAUCCACAAAACCACCUGAUUCUCUUGAAAACUCUUCUCUGCCAUCACAGCCUGCCCCUGUUCAGAACCAUUUAGUGGUGACUCAUUGCUGACAGAGUAAUAUCCGCAUUCUUUAACCUGGCAUUCAUGCAAGGGCAUAGCAAAGGGAGAACAUAGGUCCAUGGAUGCAAGUUUACAAAAGUGCCACAAAGAUGCCAGUCAAUAAUUUAUUUCAACAUUGCAUUGAGUAAUUAUGUAUAGAUUUGCUGAACAUCAGGUGUAUGAAUGCACUCUUGUUUUGCUAUGCAUUUAUUCAAUUCUGAGCUAUUCUAGCACCAGUGUAAGGAGAGAGGGCACAAACACAUUAC